ensembl:lncRNA
UACCCAGCUGAGGGUUGGCAGUUGUGUAAGAAAUUGAGCAAGACUUGCUUUUAAAGGUUCUUUCCUCCACCUGGUUUUCUCCUCUGUCUUGGGGCUAAUGUAAUGAGAACUCCACAUCAGAUGCCAGUUUGCUCUAUGAGAACUAGGGGAGCAGAAGCAGACUUCUGAAAAGUUGGCUUCUACUUUAAGCCCUGGAGAGUGGGUUAUCAGGUGUGAAAAGGCUGGAAGAGAGAUGCUCUGCCAGAGUUUGCUCAGAUUCGUGUCCAUUGAGUUGGUGAUGCUAUUAACCAUCUCAUCCUCUGCUGCCCCUUCUUUUGCCUUCAUCUUUCCCAGCAUUUGGGUCUUUUCCAGUGAGUUGACUCUUCAAAUCAGGUAGCCAAAAUAUUGGACUUUCAGCUUCAGCAUCAGUCCUUCCAAUGAAUAUUCAGGGUUAAUUUCCUUUAGGAUUGACUGGUUUGAUCUCAUGGUCCAAGGGACACUCAAGAGUCUUCUCUAGCACCACAAUUCAAAAGCAUUAAUUCUUCAGCACUCAGCCUUCUUUAUGGUCCAGUUCUCACAUCCUUACAUGAUUAUUGAAAAACCAUAGCUUUGACUAUAUGGACCUUUGUUGGCAAAGUGAUAUCUCUACUUCUUAAUACACUGUCUAGGUUUGUCAUAGCUUUCCUUCCAAGGAUCAAGGGUCUUUUAAUUUCAUGGCUGCAGUCACUGUCUGCAGUGAUUUUGGAGCCAAAGAAAAUAAAAUCUGUCACUGCUUCCACUUUUUCCCCUUCUAUUUGCUAUAAAGUGAUGGGACCAGAUGCCAUGAUCUUAGUUUUUUUAAUGUUGAGUCAGACCGUGCAGUUCAAAUCUGUGGCUUACAGACUGGUGAGAAUGCAGGCACAGAAAGGACCUUGAAGCCAAAUAUUAAACAGGGGACUCAUAAUCAAUCCUACAUGCCUUUGACCUUCAACAUAACAAAAGAUCCCAUUUUUAGGAAGUCAGAGAGAGUGGAGAAUGGGUUUGUUUGUUUUUAGGGUUUUUAAAAUUUUUUUCUAG